UUAUAGCUGGCCUCAUUUUCUGAUUGGUCGUAAACGGUAAAGUCUAAUAUCUUAUUGGCCAAUACUUUUGACAAAAGUCAAAAUUUUCAUUUUUUAACAUCCCUCGAAUUCCUUUAACGCCAUUGGAUAAUUUGAACAUUUUUAAAGCAUUAGGCAAUGCGUCAUAACUUAAUUAAUUAAUCUGUAACAAACAUAGAUAACUGUAACGAAUUUAAUAUUCAAUUUGUAACGAAUAUAAAAUGAUUCGAUGUUUUUAAUUAAAUUCCAGUUAAAACAAAAAAUCAUACAAGAAAACAAUGUUAUGAUAUAAAGUAUAUUUAAUUGCAUUUUAGUCUUCGGCAUCCACAAAUCUUUGUCGUCAUCGUUGUCAGCAGCAUUUUGCUAUUUAGCAGAUUACAAACCUACAGCUAGAUUCGUCACUUAUCCUUCCUGAAUGCUAGAAUGUGGCAAUUGUCAACUUACGAAGAAAUUGCAUUUCGUAUUUCCUAGAAAUUGCAAUCUUACAUGGUGGUGCAAACACUGUCGUUGAGGUGUACAAAGUCGAUUUACACGUAGAAAACAAAAUGCCGGACUUGUUCUUCUGCAGCAGUGGCUAUUCGAUGGAGUCAGCCUUGAAUCGAAACAGCGUAUUUUAAUCGCCGUGCUAGACCGUUCAGCUAAAACAUCGAUUGAUCCUAUACGAAAUAAUGUUAAGUAGAAAGUAUAAUAUAUUCUGACUUUUGGAAAGCGUACUAAACUGUUGAGUUAGAUGAUGACGGAUACGAACGUUUGCGAGUAAACCCAACUUUGAAGACCUUGAAACUUGAUGUCAUACUCAAAACAUAGGAAUAAACUUACUACAAUUAUUUUUAUGUUAAUCGUUCAGUACUUCAUUGUAAUUUUAAACGUGUAUGAAUUACGAAAUAAAAUAUCGAUUUCGCUAC